UACAGAGGGUGCAAGCGUUGUUCGGAAUUAUUGGGCGUAAAGCGCGUGUAGGCGGCUUGGCAAGUCGGGUGUGAAAGCCCUCAGCUCAACUGAGGAAGUGCGCCCGAAACUGCAGAGCUUGAGUGCCGGAGAGGGUGGCGGAAUUCCCCAAGUAGAGGUGAAAUUCGUAGAUAUGGGGAGGAACACCGGUGGCGAAGGCGGCCACCUGGACGGCAACUGACGCUGAGACGCGAAAGCGUGGGGAGCAAACAGG
rnacentral:rRNA from 1 species